UACGAAGGGGGCUAGCGUUGCUCGGAAUCACUGGGCGUAAAGCGCACGUAGGCGGCUUUUUAAGUCAGAGGUGAAAUCCUGGAGCUCAACUCCAGAACUGCCUUUGAUACUGGAGAGCUGAGUCCGGGAGAGGUGAGUGGAACUGCGAGUGUAGAGGUGAAAUUCGUAGAGUAUUCGCAAGAACACCAGUGGCGAAGGCGGACUCACCUGGCCCGGUACUGACGCUGAGGUGCG
rnacentral:rRNA from 1 species